AAAUCAAUCGAAAGACGAUCUCCGACACGGCAACAAUUGCAGUGUACUAUCUGUCAUCAAUUACAUUCCUCAUCGUGUAACCAGUUCGUAAUCAUGGUUAACUAUAGCUUCGUGCUGCUGUUGGGUGUUGUAACGUUGUUGGCUGGGACGAACACUGCUGUACCGACGUCUCCUGGAUAUGGCGGAUACCAAACCGCAGUGCCGCCACCUUACUACACAACUUACGAGUUGGUUACUGCUGCAACGACCAGUUGCGACCGAGGCCCCCAAGUGCUACACCAUUAAGGCACCGGAGUUUUAUACCACAACUAACGCUGCCCCGAGCUACUACACCGACGCCCCAAAGUAUUAAUAUUCUGCCGCGACUUUUCAGUCAGAUUUUCAGAGCCUGAUUGAAGUGAUUAACGAAUUUGGUAAAUUGGUCCACCCAUUAAAGUGUGAAGUUCCCUUGAUGGAUUUAGUCGUUAUAAUUCUUUAAAAAAAAAUUGUUUUUUUGUUGGCACCAUGUUGUUGGCUGAGUGUUGGCACCAUUUGUUGGCUGAGGCACUGAAGAUGACAUCUUGUGGCCAGACGAAUUUUGAUGAGCACUGAAAGACUUGGAAACCAUGCUGUCGACCACGUCGAGAAGCUGAGUAACAUUCUGCUUUUACAAUGGCACCUAUUAAUAAAAGGAACUUAAGCCAUCCAAUCUAGGACUUCCAUCAAAUCGUGCAGGCUGCAUGGAAGUCAUAUUUACCUUUGCUGUGAACAUCAUGAACACAUACACUAUUUGAAGGUUCAUGUUUACGAAGCAGUGGUGUUGCUGUCCAAUGUGGCGUGUUGUUGCAGCCUGUGGUGGUGAAAGAUAUCUGCAUCAAGUUGCUGUUCCUUGUGCUGGUGCUGGUUUGUGCUACAGAAGUGACAUCCAAUAUUGUCUUUAAUUGCUAUUUGUGUCUUUGCAGUUUACCUUUACAUAUUGAGAAGGAACA